AGGACAAAUCGCACUGGGAUCCGCCAAGGUCACCGCGACACUGAGGUCCCCCUGCGGGACAGGCUCUAGCUCCCCGCGCGCCAGGCAGACUGCAGAUCCUCCCUCUCUACAAAGAUCCGUGGCUCGGGUCCACCCAGGGGUCGUGACCGCGUGGAGCUGCACGCCACGCUCCGCCCCGCCGCCCCUUCCGCCGCGCGCCGGACCCGCCUCCCUCCAGACUUCCUAACCGCGCGCGCAGCGGCCGUGUGGGGCGGACGGUGCGAGCGUGGUCUGCACCCCGGAGGAGCGGACGUGACAUAAGACUUCUACACCCAACAUGAGUGACAUUUCCUGCAAAAAACGGGAUGACUAUCUGGAAUGGCCCGAGUAUUUCAUGGCAGUGGCCUUCUUGUCGGCCCAAAGAAGCAAGGACCCAAGUUCCCAGGUGGGGGCCUGCAUUGUGAAUACAGAAAACAAGAUUGUUGGGAUCGGGUACAAUGGCAUGCCAAAUGGGUGCAGUGACGACCUGUUGCCUUGGAGGAGAACAGCAGAAAAUAAGCUGGAUACUAAAUAUCCUUAUGUGUGCCACGCCGAGCUGAACGCCAUCAUGAACAAGAACUCGGCUGAUGUGAAGGGCUGCAGCAUGUACGUCGCCUUGUUCCCGUGUAACGAGUGCGCUAAGCUCAUCAUCCAGGCAGAUGAAGAGGUCGACAGUGGGUGCAUGCAGCGAGCAGUGUGUGGGCUCUGUGGUCUGCCGGCUCAUCCCCUCUGAAGGGAGUACAGAGCCCACACAGAGCAGCCCUCAGGGCAAAGCCCUGGGGACUCCUGGCUCUCAAGUUCCUGCGACCUGGGGAGAUCUUGAAGCAGAUCUACCCUUCUUGGAACUGGGCUAAGGUGACGGGCGGAGCCUUUCUCAUGGCCUGGUGCUGCAGAUCUCUGGAUUAGCCAGCACCCUACGCUCCCCACGUUAGCCUCUUGAGUGAAGUAGUUGCUUUGUGAGUGAAGAAUACUUCCUUACCCGAAGUAAAGAAAACUUGUUAAUUCGAUCAAGGCUUGGCUGUUUGACAUGGUUUUCCUUUGCAUUUGUAUUUAAAAAAAAGAAAAAAGAAAAAAAAAUCCAUAAAGACUGGAAGGUGGCUUAAAUGCAGUCCCCUCUGCUGUCCUGGGAAAUGAGUAUUUUAGUGACCGGACAUCGUCUGUAAGCUCACUGGAAAAGGGUAAUUAAUGAUAGGCCCGGGGCCCCCCGUCUCUCCACCUGUCUUCCUUGGUUUCUGUCUGUGCUCACCCCUCACGGUUACCUUUUCAGGUAUAAAAGAGGUUAUCUUCAUGUCGGAUAAAUACCACGACAGCGAGGAGACGACGGCCGCCAGGCUCCUGUUUAAGUUGGCUGGGGUUACGUUCAGAAAAUUCACACCGAAGUUCAGCAAGAUUGUCAUUGACUUUGAUUCCAUCAACAGCCGACCGAGUCAGAAGCCUCAGUGAGUUUUGUCUCGUUAAAGCACUAGAAGAAGAUGACACCCCCCCCACACACACACACACACACACGGGGCUCCCCGAGCCUUUCAUCUUGAAGUCCCACUUAAGUUUUUAAUAGCACAACACACAUAAACAUCUGAAGAGUAUAAAACUUGGAAUCUUCUCACCCGUCACGUGGAGCUCCAUCUGUUUCAGCUGUUGAUUUAGUUUGGGUUGGAAACUAAGGGACUGCCCACAGGAGCUGGAGUGAAGGUCUCUCCCCUUCCGCCGAGCCUGUCUGCCAGAGAGUGUCAGCUCUGUCAUCCACCAUAUUUCGACAGCCGCUCCUUGCUGCUACACAGGGUAGAAGGACAUACAAAUAAUUGCUUCUCGUUCUUAGCGGGGAAGAACAGGCGCACUGAGGUGAACAUCUGGCCCAAAUGAAGCAUACCCUGUCAACGCCCUUGGGAAAACAAAUAGGACCGAAUGAAGCUAGUGUGAACACUACCUGCUGCAGAGUUGAGGGGACCUCUCACCUGGUCACAUGAGGUUGAGGAGGGCACCGUGUCCUGGCAGAGGAUCAGUCCAAUGUCCCCCUCGGUUCACGCUUUCUGGCCUUACACAAAGCAGUAGGCACGCCAUCCCUCUGGAGGGUAGGGGACCCCUGCGGUUCCAGCCUCUUAGCCUUGGUUUGUUGGUCACAUAGCACUGUUAAAUUUAUCCGAGGAAUAAGUAGUUCCUAGAGGAGGCAGUCUAUCACUCCCCCUAGACCUGGCGCUGCGCGGUGACAGCUGGAGCUGUAUGGAUGGGUGAUGAGGGACGUCCCCCAUCCCGUGUCUCCUGCUGUGCGGACACAUGUCACUCCUGCUCCACGUGCCAGCAUGGUUCAUUUCCAAGGGCACCCUACAACCAGAGAGCACAUUAAUUCCUGUCCUAUAAGAGGAUUGUGGGAAACUCCGUGUACCUGGAGGUGGUCCAUGCCAGAUCCUCAUUUGUGCCUUGAGCCUCACAGGCAGCAUAUGCCUGCUACCCCACUGUGGGUGGGGGUGCCCUACCGCGUACUCAAAUUUUUAAUUUCAUUUAACUUCUAGCAGACAUGCUCAAUGUCUUUGAUAAAAUAGUGUCUUUUUUUCCAUGGGUUUUUAUUUCAUUUCUAAGAUUUUUUUAACACUCCGUAUUCUGGAGCAUUUUUUAUAAUUUAGAUGUUUGCCAUUAUUAAUAAAAUUUUAUUAAAAUCAUCCAGUACC